AUUGAACGCUGGCGGCAGGCCUAACACAUGCAAGUCGAGCGAGCGGCGGACGGGUGAGUAAUGUAUGGGGACUGCCCGAUAGAGGGGGAUCACUACUGAAAACGGUGGCUAAUACCGCAUACUAUCGGAUAACCCAUAUGGGAUUAGCUAGUAGGUGGGGUAAAGGCUCACCUAGGCGACGAUCUCUAGCUGGUCUGAGAGGAUGAUCAGCCACACUGGGACUGAGAAACGGCCCAGUCUCCUACGGAUGCAGCAGUGGGGAAUAUUGGACAAUGGGCGCAAGCCUGAUGCAUCAAUGCCGCGUGUAUGAAGAAGGCCUUAGGGUUGUAAAGUACUUUCAGCGGGGAGGCGUUACCCGCAGAAGAAGCACCGGCUAACUCCGUGCCAGCCGCCGCGGUAAUUC
rnacentral:rRNA from 1 species